CAGCACACACCAACCAGCCCCUUCUGUGUGGUUGAGUACACGCCGGUGGCCAAAGUGGGGUGCGAGAUCU
rnacentral:snoRNA from 1 species